rnacentral:rRNA from 1 species
UACGGGGGGAGCAAGCGUUGUUCGGAUUUACUGGGCCUAAAGGGCGCGUAGGCGGUCGUGACAAGUCACUUGUGAAAUCUCCGGGCUUAACUCGGAACGGUCAAGUGAUACUGUCGGACUAGAGUACAGAAGGGGCAACUGGAAUUCUCGGUGUAGCGGUGAAAUGCGUAGAUAUCGAGAGGAACACCUGCGGCGAAGGCGGGUUGCUGGGCUGAUACUGACGCUGAGGCGCGAAAGCCAGGGGAGCGAACGGG